UGUGCCCUAAUCAACUUAAUCUCCCGUUUAGUUAUUCCAUCCAAACAUAUUUCAGCAUAACGUUAGUCACAUUAAUUGUAUGUAGUGUUGAUAAAUAUGCUUGUCUUAUUCUCAUUUGUAAGUUAAUUUUGGAUAAUAGCAUCUGCUAAAUGAAUAAAUACAUAAACACUAUGCAGGCCUAUUCAAUGGUAAUUUGAUUCAAAACAAUUAAAGGAAUACAGUAUUUUGUAGAAAUUAAAAGUCACAGUAAUUGAAUAUAUUCCUUGUAUUAACUGUGGGUGGCUUUGCCUGUUGUGCACCUUAUCACUUUGAUUGCUUUAUCAGUUGUUGUGUUUCUCGUUUGUUUUUGGUGGUUUUCUUACUCUGUUAACAAAGGUGUACAUGCUUGCCAUACAGUAUAAUGCUAUAGUUUGCCACAUUGCAAAUAUAGGAAUUGAACAGGUUCUAAAGCAAUAACCUAACUACUUUAUGCAAAUGCUGUAAGUAAUUGGUAAUACUAUUUUUUAUAUUACACCAUAGUAUUCAAAUGUAUGUUAUCACACUACAUUUUAACCAUUUUGCUGGGCUGUGUUUUAAGGUCUAAUUAAUUUAAAAUGAAGCAACACAUCUCUCUGCAUUUACAUGGCAGUUCAAGCAUGAAUACUGAGUGCAAAGCUCACCUUCUCACCUUUUUCCCCCCAUUUUUUUCUUCCCUUUUUUCCCUUUAAAAUGUAUGGUCACUAUAUACUAUGUGAUCCCUGAUGAUCUGGUGAUGGCUGAUCUCUUGUGUUCUGCCUUAUAUCCCCAAUCAGUGUUCUGUGUCCCAAUCAACCUUUAAUCAGCAAUUUUUAAACUCUAAUUUUUUAGGACAUUUGGAUAAUUUAAAGUGCAGAAACAACAAGAUGCCUUCUAGAAUCCCAUUCAGUUUUAAGUGAAGAAGUGUUGUUACUGAUAAUACAGAAUAACUAUUCUUACAUCUACUGUAAGCCUUUUUUGGACACUUAAAAGCUCCUUAAGACAAGUUCAUUCCAAAAUAUGGAAUUAUUUAGUAGUUUUUUUUUUUUUUAGUUUUUUUUUUGUUUUUGUUUUAAAAGGACAUGUUUUAUUUUCAUGCUGCUUAAAGUAUUGAAAUAAAUUCAGCACUAUAUUUAUAAACUUAUGUUUAAACUUGGCAACAGUAAAGUGUCAAAAAAGAAGUUCAGUCAUUACAACACUCUGAAUAAAUAUAAAGUGUUAUAAUGAAUAUGAAGUUGGUAGGUUGUGUUUUGGCAGACUUGAUUUUUCUUAUACUGCUUACGAAAACUUGCUACUGCUAGACUAUAUAUUGGCAUUUUGUGCCCAACCUGGUUUCAUAGAUUAUCAUUACUAUAACAACUUUCAGUCAUGACAACUCUCGGAAAGAUUUAGUAUGUUAAUGUGGGUAUGACAUAUUGAGAGGAUAUUGGUCUUGGCGGACUACAUCUGCUAAGCUGCUGUUGCUGCUGCAGAGCAAGUACGGAGACUUGCUACUGCUAGAACGUACACCGACAUACUGAGUUAAGCAUGUAGACCUGCUGCUUCUGCUGCUGCACAAUAAGAAAAACACAAGACAUUCUGUAUAAAGUAUGUAGGACAAGCUCUUGCACAGUUAGACAUAAAUACAGUGCCCAUGUAGCAGAUCUAGAUAAGCAGGGUUUGGAAGUGGAGGGUUACAGAGAAACUCUUGCAGCAAGCUGCAGUGAAACUGGCUUACUUGCAAACUGAGCAAAUGUAAAUAUUUGGCAAAGAGAGAUUACACAAGUUGAUAAGCUACCAGAUGACAUGUCAAAGGACCUAUCAGCUUACACCAUGUGAGCCGAUUGACUUGACAUACCACAUGUAAGCGAGCUGAAUGGGUAACAGAUAACAAAUUAAAAGAACCGAUCAGCUUGCCUAUUCAGAGUUUCGUGCCUGAGCUUGAGUUUCACCUGCCUCGUUCAAUGUAUCACUGCAGUUUUCUGGUGAAGUAAACUCUAAAGGCGCAACAACGAGUUGUUCAUUUUCACUCAAAUCACGAGUAAAAUAGCAGAUUAAAACUUCAUAAACACUUAUGACCUGACUCACUGAACAUUCACUUGACUGUCUGAACUUCAUUCAUGAAACUGAGCGCCGUCUUUGUUUCUUUUUGUGCUGGUUCCACCUAGCGGCUGGAGCAUGUUUUGUGGAGUAACACUUAGUGCCUGACCGAUAUAUCAGUCCGGCGAUAUUAUCAGCUGAUAUUAGCCUUUCACCGAUAUAUCGAUAUCGGCAUAUAUGUUUACCUAUAUGCGCAGAUAUGAAAACUUUUUUUCAGAACAUAUAAUGCAGAAAACAAUGCUUUAUAAUUGGUGUCAUAACGUAGUUUGUCCAGCAGAGUGCGCUCCGACUCCAUUGUUUAAAGAGCUAACUCUAAGCUGACGGUGGCUAUGCAGCCAGGGCGGAGUUGAGCGGUGUCUUCGUCAUAAGUUGCUAACUAGUUUGUGAAAUACAUACUGGAAAGUUAAUAAACAAUGACCCCAUCAUUUUCCCUUUUCAAUAUAACUAAUAUAACGUUAACCCUGUCCCUGAUAACCAUGUCACUCAUGUUUUGCUGUUAGACAGCUAUAGUUUGUCAUUGCAGUCAGUAAAGUAAAGGUAAACAUCAGAGCAUCUUUUUGCAGCUCAUCAGACAACGGUGCGGUGGUGGAUUGUGUCUGUUGAGUGUUGAUUUCACGCUACGCUGUUACCUAGUUGGUGAGACGCAAUACUGGAAAGUAAAUAAAGUCCAUCUUUUACUCUCCAUGACAACAAGCUUAUAGUUAACUAGCUAACCACAUAGCAACUUUCAUUGCUUAUCAGCUGAGUGGAAGAUAAUGUGUAAACAUGUAUUCACCAAACUGUUUUGUUCAGGAUUCACAGUUUGGUACCCCCUUCAACUGAACAAUUCCAGUCAUUGCAUUUAUAAAAUUUAAUAUUUAAAAGUCUGGUUUUCCACCAUUGAAAGUUUCCCCUGAACUUGUAUAGCAGAAUGCGGUGUAACACCGCUGCCGCUGUUUAUCUCUUGUCUCGGCAGGUGAAAAUGCUUCUUGUUUUACAACCUGCCAAUAAUUGACUGGCAGUAUUAAAAUAGUCAGCAUUUGACUGAUACUAAACAGUACUACUGAUGUUUAUUUAGCUAUUUAUUUUAUUUUUAUUUAUUCUUUAUUUAAUUGGUCAGCAUUUGACUGAUACUAAACAUUACUGAUGUUUAUUUAGCUAUUUAUUGUAUUUUUAUUUAUUCUUUAUUUAAAUGGUCAGCAACUGACUGAUACUGAGCAUAAAGUACUGAUGAUUUUUAAGCUAUUUAUUGUAUUUUAUUUAUUCUUUAUUUUCUCAGUGUUCAUUUCUAGAAUUUGCUGACAGUGUAUAAUAAUAAUAAUGUCAAAUAUUCUUUGCUAAAAAUAUUUAAGAAAGCAGCCUUCUGAGUACCUUUGCAUAGUCAUAUCGGUGCAAAAUUGGUGAACAAUCCACAUAGAAAAGGUCUGUUUUCAUUCCAGCUCAAAAAUUAACUAUAUCGGCCACCAUAUCGGUAAUUGGUGAAUUUUCACCCUCUAAAAUCGGUAUUGGUCUCAAAAAUCCCAUACUGGUCGAGCUCUAGUAACACUCCUUUGGGACAGUUUGUGGAUGAAUAUACAUGUCUUUGUGUUUAUCCCACCUACUGGUUGGAGUUUGUUUUAUAGAUUAUUUUCUGUUGUGUAAUUCUGUCUCACAAAAUUUGUAUAGAAGACUUGAAUAAUCCGAUGGCAAAGUUGUCGUGGGGGCUCUCGAAGGCGUACAUGGACUGUUUGAGUUUAGAGGGAUGGACGCUGGUUGGCGCUGUCGUGCACGGGGUUAAUGCGCACGUUUUUCUUUUUUUUCUUCUGUUUGUUUGGUUCAGGGGGAAGUUCGGGGUUUGAUUUUUGCAGGUAAUCUUUAUAAUUGUUUUUUUGACACAAUCUAUUUUUUCUAAUAUGUCAAAAUGUCAAAUGUUAAUAUGAGUGGAUUGUCUCUCUCCAUGUGGAAUGGGAAUGUGUUGGGGCACCCCAUAAAAAGAAGGAAGGUUAUUUCUUUUCUUAAAUGUAAGAAAUAUGAUAUUGUGUUUCUUCAAGAAACACAUCUUUCCCUGCAGGAAGCUGAAAAAUUUGGGAAGAUAUGGAGUGGACAUGUUUUCUUUAGUGCUGGCACAAGUAAGAGUCUGUCUCAAACAGUUUAAUGAUAAAUUAGGAAGAGUCAUUAUUGUUUUAGCAGAAAUUCAUUGGCAAAGGUUGAUUUUGGCUAAUAUUUACACACAUAAAGCUGAUGAUCAGGGCUUCUUUAUAGAUCUUGAAGUGAUGUUGCAAGCUGCUGGCACCCCUCAUUAUAUAAUAUUGGGAGGAGACUUUAAUCUUUUGAUGGUCCUUGAUCAUAGUGUAGCAAAAGUGUGCAAGCCCCCUAGAGCAACAUUGACGCUUCACAGGAUGUGUAAAAAUCUUGGUCUUACAGAUAUUUGGAGACUUUUGAACCCAUCUGGUAGGGACUAUAUAUGUUUUUCAUCAGUCCAUAAGAUUUAUUCUAGAAUAGUCCCUCAUUUCACCUGUUGUUGAUUGCUCAAUUGGAAACAUCUUAGUCUCAGAUCAUACCCUGGUGAGUUUAGAGGUGUUGCCACAUACAGAGAAAAAGAAAUCAUUUUAAUAUAUCCCUUUUGCAAAAUCCUGAAUUCUAACAAAUGUUAAAAGCUGAAAUCAGUGUUUAAAUGGAAACCAACUGGUCCUCAGUAUCCUCUGUGGGCAUGGCAAGGGAGGAACUUAAGGCAUUUCUUAGGGGUCAGAUCAUACAGUUUGCCUCAUUCACCAAAAAAUCCAAAGCACGAGAAUUCGUGGAACUGGAAGGGAAUAUUAAAGAUGCCGAGGCAGAGCUGAAGCGCUGAAUGUCGUCUGAUGGCCUCAGAGAAUUGACCUGAUUGAAAUACAUAUAUAAUACUAUUUUGUUGUGGAAGGUGAAGUUUUUGGCUAGAUAUAUAAAGCAGAGAGAGUCUUUUUCUCCCAUUCCCUCAGUGAAAUCUGCUGGUGGUGAAAUAUUUACCUUGGCCAUUGAUAUUAAUGAUACUUUUAAAGAAUUCUAUCUUGAUCUCUAUAGUUCCUCGUCUUCGUCUACUGAUGAAGAUAUUAGAAACUUAGUGAAACCAUUAGAACUCCCUAAACUGACGACUGAGCAAAAAAAAUUAUCUUGAUAAUAAAGGAAACUUGGAGGAGCUUUGCGAGGUAAUUAAGGUCUUGCCUACAGGCAAGGCUCCGGGGCCAGAUGGCUUUGCCACUGAAUUUUUUAGAUCUUAUGCUACAGAACUGGCUCCACUUUUGUUAGAAGUUUAUACGGAAGCAUUAAAGAAUGGAAAGCUUCCGCCAACCAUGACACAAGCCCGGAUCAGUCUGAUUCUUAAAAAGGACAAAGAUCCAAGUGAGUGUAAGAUUUACCGUCCAAUUUCCCUGAUUCAGCUAGAUGUAAAAAUAUUGUCAAAAAUUUUGGCUAACCCAUUAAGUAAAGUUAUGACGUCUCUUAUACAUACAGAUCAGGUGGGGUUUAUUCGGGGCUGUAGCUCUUCUGAUAACAUCAGGUGUCUCAUCAAUAUCAUGUGGUCAGUGGCGAAUGAUCAGUCUCUGGUCGCUACCAUCUCACUUGAUGCCGAAAAGGCGUUUGAUAUGGUAGAAUGGGAUUAUCUUUUUAAGAUUUUGGAAAUAUACGUGGUUCAGGAACACUUUUAUUGGAUGGAUUAAGUUACUUUAUAGACACCCGGUAGCGGCAGUACAAACAAAUGGAUUAAUUUCAAAUUAUUUUACUCUGGACAGGGGCACCCGGCAGGGUUGCCCUCUUUCCCCAUUAUUGUUCUGUCUUGCCUUGGAACCAUUAGCAGCCGCGAUAAGAAAGGAAAAUGAUUUUCCAGGGGUGGUGGCAGGAGGUAUUGCGCAUAAGCUUUUGCUUUACACAGAUGAUAUUUUAUUAAUCGUCUCCAACUCCACUAGAUCUGUGCCUUGCCUCCACAGAAUUAUUAAUUCAUUUUCUAAGUUCUCGGGAUACAGAGUCAGUUGGUCUAAUCCAAAGCUUUGGCUCUGUCAGCAUACUGCCCAGUUAUGGCUUUUCAGCUGGGUGCUUUCCAGUGGCCCAAUCAGGGCAUUAAGUAUUUGGGUAUUUUAUUCCCAGCAAAUUUGUCUGAUUUAGUCAGUUAAUUUUGACCCCUUAAUAAAAAGGUUUUCGAGCGAUGUGGGCUUCAUUAUAUUUAUCUAUGAUUGGGAAAGUUAAUGUUUUUAAAAUUAAAUUUAUUCCAAAAUUCAACUACCUGCUACAGUCUCUCCCUGUAGAUGUCCCCCUCUCUUAUUUCAAGCAAUUUGAUAGCGUAGCGAAGUCCUUCAUUUGGAAUAAUAAGCGUCCCAGAUUACACUUCAGUAAGUUACAUAGGCCGAUUGACAAAGAUGGGCUAGGCCUACCCAAGAUUAUUAUGCAUUCUGUCUCAGACAUUUGGCUCAUUGGUCACUUCCCCCUGAGAGAGCCCCUCCCUGGUUUUGUAUUGAACAGGAAGUUUUUGCCCCUAUAUUGCCAUUGCAAAACCUUUAUAUUACACUAACCGGAGAAGUUAAGUCACACCCCGUUAUCUUGCAUUUGCACGCAGUAUGGACAAAGGUGUCCAGAGUGUUUAAUUCGGACGUUUAUUUAAAUGUUGCCUCGAGCAUAUGGAUGAGCCCAAAAUUACGUAUUAAUAAGUCCCCUUCCUGCUGGUCAGAGUGGAUUGUGAGGGAGGUUAAUAUUCUCGGUGACCUAUAUGAGAGUGGAGUGUUGAGAUUUUUUGAAAAUAUGGUUCAGUAUUUUAGGAUUCCCAGAUCUCAUUUCUUAAGGUAUUUACAGCUGCGCCAUCUGCUCUGUACUAUUUUUGGGGGUAGCGUACACCCCCCUAAAGCGGCAGAUACUCUGGAAGUGAUGAUUACUGCCUUUGGAAAAGGUCAUGAGGCAUCAGUGUAUUAUUCCCUGUUAAUUCAGUGUCUGGGGGAAGGAGCUUCAACUUCUCUCAAGAGAUUAUGGGAGAAAGACUUAAACUUGGUAUUGGAGGAUGGAGUUUGGGCUAGGAUUCUAAAAAACAUCAAGUCUACAUCUAGAGAUGCAAAGGUGCGUCUGAUGCAAUUUAAGAUUUUACAUUGAUUCUGUUGGACUCCCUCUAGAUUGUAUAGACUUGGUCUCAAAGACACUUCCACCUGCUUGCGAUGCCAAUCAGAAGAUGGGGACACAACCUAUUUUUUCGGUGGUGUGUUAAGAUCCAAGAAUUUUGGUUGAGGGUUCAGAAUUUUAUGUGUGAUGUAUUGGGUAUUCAAAUUUGUUCGGAGGGAAGGGUUUAAGUUCAUAUAAUUUGAUUCUGUAUUUUCUGUCAUGUUUAUUUAAUAUGUCACUGAAAUCAAUAAAAAUUGUUAAUAACAAAAAAGACAGUACCGGUUAGGUUUAAUUAAAGGUUUAUGUUAGGGAGGUAGGUUUUGUUCAUUUUAAACUCCAUAGAGGAUAAACCUUAACCUCAUCUUUUUGGGACACAUUUAACUUGCUUUUAGUGCCACUCAGUGGACAUUUCACCUCGAAACUGCAGCGAUAUGUGUAAUGAUCCACAUAAUUUCAUUUAGUAAAAAUGUUGCCACAGUCAGGUUUUUUUUCAUCAAUCAGUCUGGACAUGCUGCUGCUGCUGCUGCACAAUAAGACAUACACAAGUCAUGCUGCAUUGAGCAUGUACUGUAGGACAUGUUGCUGAUGCAAUUUAAAUGUUAGACAAAGAGAGAGUAAGUUGAUUGGCUAAUAGAUUACAUGAUCAAAGGACCUAUCAGUUUGUGCCAUGUAGAAUUUCAUGACUGAAUUUGUUUACUGUUUGUGACCAAAGCGAAUGUCACCACCAAGGAGUUCAGCCAUCAACGGUCACCAGUUUCUCAUAGGGUUUCUUUCCUUUUCCAUUUGACAUACUCUUUCACCUGCUAACUAAUGACUUCUCUCCAUAGUUUUUGUUUUAUCUCCUCAAAGACAGAGAUAGUCUACCCGGUCAAAUCUUUUGGGUCCGUCCCUUGAUAUAGCGCUCAUUUCAGCCGAUUAUGUCUCCUUGCUAGCAGAGGGACUAAAGCAGCGAAACUAGGGUGCUGCCAUUAUCAACCUUGAAUGUGGACCACUUCCGGUAUUAGCCACUUCCAGCUAUUUUAGCGAUACAAAAAUACUACAUUAUGCUGCUUUAUUACAUGCUGGCAUUAUAUGUCAUCAUAUUAUUAUCAUUAAUUAUGAUUUUCAUAAACUCAUUAGUUUUGAACGCAUAUAGUUUUACCGUAUAUCGCAUUUUGCCAUUGUUUUAUCACACUGUUGCACAGGCAGAAUGAAUGAGAGAUCAGGUGCUGACAGGACAGUCGUCCGCACCAUCUGACAUGCCUCCACAAACUUUACACAACCAGCAGAGAGCAGAAAGCCGCAGGGCAAAUGCUGUUUUAACUUUCUUUGCACCAAAACUGCGUCUUGUUUCACCUUGACAAAAUAAUAAAUGCAUUAUUCUCUGUUCUUUUCAGAGAGCAUUCUCUCUUUCUUAGCAGUGCAUAGUAAACAAACAUGCAGAUCUUACAUUCAGCAUAGCUUAUGAAAUAUCACCUUUGGAAAUAAACAAAUAAAGGCAUCAUUGGAGGUUAUGAAGGUACAUAUAAAUGGAGGUUUACAUGGAGACAAGAAAGACUGCAUCAUCACAAUCUCGGUAAAGUAAGAAACAGAUUUAAUUACCGUCUCUUCAGUACAACAACACACAGCAACAAGUGAAUGAUUUACUUACACUUUUACAUUUAAAUGCUGAAGUUAGAAAAUUAUUCGACAUUAGGCCAUCAUUCUGCUGUACAUCCUGUGGUUGUGUGAUAGUUUAUAAACUUAGAUCACUAAAUUCUGGUAAUGUAAGCGCAGCGUAGUUCUAACGGGAAGACUAGCAACUGUACAUCACACCAUUAGCUAGGUAACUCCUAGCCAAUCACAUGUAAGCCAUUGCUUUAUAAGUCUGUUCACAUUCUAUCACAUUGCUGUUUCAGUUGUGUUAACACGGCAACCUCCACCACCCCACCACCACCAGUCGACUCCCGUCCUGCACAGGGGUAGGCUCCUCGCCCCUGCCUCCUAUCUCUGGCAGGAUAUGAUGGUUCCGAGUACAACUUCUUCGGACCGCCAGACGGGGCUUACGCCAAAGAGAGACAUUACAUUUUCUGUUUUAUAUUCCUCAAAUAAAUGUCAUCUUGAAUUUCA